rnacentral:hammerhead_ribozyme from 1 species
GCCCUACUGAGGAGUUCCACAAUAGGACGAAACGGCUGUCCAGCGC